GCUGUGGUGUGUCUGCUCUGCCUUCAGCUGAUGAUCGCUGUGCCCCCAGAGCCGCCCGAGCACUGGUGCCGCUAUCAGGGCCCGGAAUGGCUGCGUGUGACUGUGUAACUGUGUGUGUGACUGUGUGUGUGACUGUGUGUGUGACUGUGUGACUGUGUGUGACUGUGUGUGACUGUGUGUGUGACUGUGUGUGACUGUGUGUGUGACGGUGUGUGUGACUGUGUGUGUGACAUUGCGUGUGACUGUUUGUGUGACUGUGUGUGACUGUGUGUGUGACUGUGUGUGUGGCUGUGUGUGUGGCUGUGCGUGUGACUGUGUGUGUGACUGUGUGUGACUGUGUGUGGCUGUCUGUGUGUGUGAGCCCUGUCCGUGUGUCUGUCUGUGUGUGUGAGCCCUGUGUGUCUGUCUCUGUGUGUGAGCCCUGUCUGUGUGUCUGGCUGUGUGUGAGCCCUGUCUGUGUGUCUGUCUCUGUGUGUGAGCCCUGUCUGUGUGUCUGUCUCUGUGUGAGCCCUGUCUGUGUGUCUGUCUGUGUGUGUGAGCCCUGUCUGUGUGUCUGUCUGUGUGUGUGAGCUCUGUCUGUGUGUCUGGCUGUGUGUGAGCCCUGUCUGUGUGUCUGUCUGUGUGUGUGAGCCCUGUCCGUGUGUGUGAGCCCUGUCCGUGUGUCUGGCUGUGUGUGUGAGCCCUGUCCGUGUGUCUGGCUGUGUGUGAGCCCUGUCCGUGUGUCUGUCUCUGUGUGAGCCCUGUCUGUGUGUCUGUCUCUGUGUGAGCCCUGUCUGUGUGUCUGGCUGUGUGUGUGAGCCCUGUCUGUGUGUCUGGCUGUGUGUGAGCCCUGUCUGUGUGUCUGUCUGUGUGUGUGAGCCCUGUCUGUGUGUCUGUCUGUGUGUGAGCCCUGUCUGUGUGUCUGGCUGUGUGUAAGCCCUGUCUGUGUGUCUGUCUGUGUGUGUGAGCCCUGUGUGUCUGUCUCUGUGUGUGAGCCCUGUCUGUGUGUCUGUCUGUGUGUGUGAGCCCUGUCUGUGUGUCUGACCCCGCCGAGCCCGCGGGGCGCUCCCGCCGCAAGAUGGCGGCGCCGCGGCCCCGCCCCCGCCUCGCCCAAGAUGGCGGC
rnacentral:lncRNA from 1 species